GUGGGCGUGCCGGAGUGGUUAUCGGGCAUGACUAGAAUUCAUGUGGGCUUUGCCCGCGUAGAUUCAAAUCUUGUCGCUCAUG
rfam:Ipomoea nil DNA, scaffold: scaffold2283, cultivar: Tokyo-kokei standard.